rnacentral:rRNA from 1 species
GGCGGACGGGUGAGUAACGCGUGAGUAACCUGCCUUUCAGAGGGGGAUAACGUCCUGAAAAGGACGCUAAUACCGCAUGAUAUAUUUGUGCCGCAUGGUAUGGAUAUCAAAGGAGCAAUCCGCUGGAAGAUGGACUCGCGUCCGAUUAGCUAGUUGGAGGGGUAACGGCCCACCAAGGCGACGAUCGGUAGCCGGACUGAGAGGUUGAACGGCCACAUUGGGACUGAGACACGGCCCAGACUCCUACGGGAGGCAGCAGUGGGGGAUAUUGCGCAAUGGGGGAAACCCUGACGCAGCAACGCCGCGUGAAGGAAGAAGGUUUUCGGAUUGUAAACUUCUUUUCUAAGGGACGAAGAAGUGACGGUACCUUAGGAAUAAGCUCCGGCUAACUACGUGCCAGCAGACGCGGUAAUACGUAGGGAGCAAGCGUUGUCCGGAUUUACUGGGUGUAAAGGGUGCGUAGGCGGCAAUGCAAGUCAGAUGUGAAAUGCACGGGCUCAACCCGUGAGCUGCAUUUGAAACUGUGUUGCUUGAGUGAGGUAGAGGCAGGCGGAAUUCCCGGUGUAGCGGUGAAAUGCGUAGAGAU